rnacentral:lncRNA from 1 species
UUGCUUGUUUCUAAAACAAUUUAUUUUUAUUUAUCUUGUAACAAUUAACUAUUUUGACAUUUUAGACAUUGUAAGAGGAAGUGAAUGGGAGAAUAUUGGAGCUUAUGUACAUUUGAGGUAGUCAAUUGAUGAACAUUGCAAAAGCUUAAAAUGCCAACCAAUCUUCUAAAUAUCUAAUAAAACAUGGUAGUCACUUGUCGAAAUUUAACUAAUUGUCCUCUAUAUUUCAUCAUCAACUUGAGUAAAGAGAUCUAUUUACUAUUUGAACAAAUACAAACUCCUAUUUAUCAUAUUUGUUCGAUGACAUCCUAAAAAGUCAAAAUUUUCACAAAAUACUGUAACAUAAAAAGCAAAGUUAGAAAAAAAAAACAUGCCUCCUUAUAUAAUUUUCUCUUCAACAUGGUGAAUUAAUAAGCUAAGUAGGAAACAUAUUUGAAAAAUAUCAACAGUCUUGACAUUAAAACUACUGAAGAUGAUUUCCUUAUAUUUAAACUCAACUUCAAGUUUAAAGACUUCAAUAACUUGGUGAAUUAAUAAGCUAAGUAGGCAAAGAAUCUCGAAAGCAUUUACACUUAAUUUGAUCCGGACCUUUAGAAGACAAGUAUUGGUGAUUUUAAUGAGUAAUAUAGCUUUUAUGAUAGCUUUACCUAAGAUUUUGGACUAGUGGUGAAUCAGGAGAUGAUAGCUGCUAAGGAGUGAUUUAAGAUGAAUUGUAUUGAUCUUGGAGUAUCAAAUUGAAUAGGAGGAUUUUUGAUUAAUUUUGACUAUUUCUUUAGCCCUCUGGAUGGGUUUACGAUGCUGUAACAUUGGUUCUAACUGGUCAAUGAAAGAAGCUAUUUAGUGGGCAUGUAUAGGUACCAUUAGAACUCGUACAAUGCUGGUUUACACUGAUUCUUCUAUUUUUUUGUUUAGCUAUUGAUUCACUGUUAAAAGUUACAAAUGCAUUUCUUACUUUUCUACUUAUGUUAUUGUAUGAUGCUCAAUUUGACACUUUUCAAGUUUUUACUUUUUCUUAUAGGAGAUAAUUGAAGCUAAUAGAGGGUAAAUUAAUGAGAAUGUUGAAUAUGGUCAUUUUCUUUGAUUUCUAACUUAUACCAAAGAGAAUGAGUAGAUAUUUAGAGUUGUCUAUGGUUAGAAUAGGUUCACUGAGUUGGUGAAUUAACGUGGCAUCAAGCUUGCUUCAGGGAUCUAAUACAUGGAGUUCUUUCUUUAAAGAAAAAAAAUGAAGGGGAUUGGUGGUAGUUAAGGCUAUAGGAGGAUUAUGAAAAUUAUCGGUGUAUAUAUUUAACUUUUCUUGUCUACUUGUACAAGGUCUUAAUAUAGUGAUUAAUUUAAAAUUAUAUAUAUGAUUUUAGUUUGAAAUCGAAAAGAUAUGUAAAUUAAAUAUAUAGAUAUAAGGAAUGAAAUGUAAUUUGUUCUUGCAUGUAUAUAUGUGUAUUAUUCAUUUUGAUUUGCAGGCCUUGUGAAAAUCGAAGAAGAUACUGGGCGGUUCUUUGAGUUACUUUGAAACUUUGUUGUGACUUGGGAAUGGAUUAUUAGUAUGUCCAGAUUAUAAGAGUAUAAAAACAAAUACAGGAUUACAUAUGAAAUGUUUGCAAAUCAUUAUAAUUAGCUAUAGAACAAGUCCUAUAUAUAUAUAUAUAUAAAGUGAAUCAAAAGAAAAGAUGCGCAUACAUAAUUGUGGAAUGGUGAUGGUAAUCGAGGAAGUGCUUAUGAAUCUGGUUCCUUUCGUGCGACUAAUUUAUUGUAUAUAUAAAAAUAUAGAUUUAUAUAGCCUGUUCAUCACAUUGUGGGCUGAGUUCCAAAUGCGCAUUGUCAAUUAAAAAAUGAAUCUCCCUAAAAGUUGAGUUAGGGAGAAGGUAAAAAAGGAGAGCAAUUGUAUAUGCAGGUAUAUAUAUGCGUUACACUUUUUUGAAUAUUGAAUGCUGGAUGCAUAAUCUUUUAUUUAAAUCUUUAAUUGUAUAUAGAAGAAAAUAUAUACACACAUAAUAUUUUAGUGCAUCAAACGAUAUAUAUAGUAUACAAUUUGAAAUAAUUUAUUCCCAUAUCUAUAUUUAAGAAAACUAGGUUAAUAUGCCAAAGGAUUCGUUAAAUAAUUAGGGAGCUAAUUAGUUUAAUUAUAAUAAUUUUUAUUUGAAUUGAUCAAUAUGUAAAUUAAUUAUACAUAUGCUAUAUGAUUCAUUAUAAUUGCAAUAUAUAUGAUUAUAUAAUUCGUAAAGAAAAAAUUAAUUAUAUGACAUGAUACGACAAGACCAUCAAAAGUUGUGUUUUUUGUUGAUAUAUUUCUUUCUAAUGAUAUUUACCUAUACAUCAUAAAAAUUUAGAUGCUCACCCUUCCAUACACAUAUGCAAACAUCUCAAUAUAUAUUUACCUACCUUAACAUGUAUGCCUUCCAUCGCUACCUUAUAUAUUACAUGUAUAUAUAUAUAAUGUAUAUAUCAACUGGAUCAGACAACAAACAUCUGGCCUGUACUUGGUUUAUAGUUAAUUUGCUCGAUAUGCAAACUUUAAUUUGUAAGAUUUCAAAAUUUUCCAGGCAAAACAUAAUUACUAAUUACACUUCAAUAGUAUUCUAAUACCAUAAAAACUUAAAAUUUAGGAUAAUGACAUUAAGGAAUAAUAUUUUCCUCAAAAGAAAAUCUCGAUCUAAUCGAAAUAUCUCAAAUAAUUUAUAUUUUUAUUAAUAUGAAAGCGUGAAUCUAGAAAGAUACACUAAAAUUAUAAAUAUAUUGUUUAAUUAUUUUAUUGGAUUUAUUUCGGGUUCUACCUAACUAAUAGAUAUAUAGAAUAAUCUAUCUUUGUUCCUUAUGUUUUAAAAAACAAAAAAAUUAUAGUCACAUAUAUACUACCAAUUCAGAGUGUUGAUGAGAAGUAUAUGUGUACACUUGUAACUAGCUCUUUUAAGUAGUUCUGACAGUAUCUUGUUUAAUUUGCUAAAUAUGUAAUAUUAGUGUGAUACAAUAGCAAUGCUGUCUAAAUAGCAAGUAGAAUAAGUAUUGCUUUAUACGUAUACACACAGAUAUAUAAUCUUUACCUGCGUUUCGUUAUUUAUAUGUACACCAGCAUGCAAUCUAUAACAUAUCGUAAUUAACUUAAAGGUUGGAAUCAGUAAUGGAUGAUGGAUUGUUUCCUUCUAAUUGUUUUUUGAACAUGACUUUGCCUUCUUGUUUUCUCAAUCUCUAUUGCUGUUGAUAGAUGUAUUGUUGAUGGUACUUCUCGUUAUGUUUCUAAUGGUUAAUUACUACUGAUAAAUUUUAUUUCAAUUUUAAAAAAAAGUUAAUUAUCUUACAGGUAAGUAUGGAUUGUCGAGGUUCAAAAGGCAUAUAUUUUAGUACCAUACUAGUAUCAUUUUUUUAACAGGAAAAGAGACAACACCUUUAUAUUAUUACUGCAUAAAAUUGGCAAGAAAUAUAUCUUUGAUUUUCUUUAGGAGUUUUUUGGCUAUUACAUAAGUCAAUACAAAAGAAAUAAUAUAUAUUACUUUUAUUAUUUUAUUUUAAAAUUAAAUUACACUAAUCAUUCUUUAACAAUAUGAAUAGUAUUUCCUCUCUUUAUAAAAAUAUUUGAAUUCAAAGUAUACAUUCUCAUGUAUUCUUUAGGAUAUAGGGCUAAUUAAUAAAUAAAAUGUAUGAAUUGUUAUUAUAGAGAUUUAAGUCCUAAAUUUUAUUUUUAUUUUUUAUAAUUAAUAUUUUUUUUGAAAAGUAAUAUAUCUCUUAACAAUAACACACAAAUUUACAAAACCAACCAUAAGGUAUGCCUAUAUGCCAAAGCCAACCACUAGCAUCGUUUAUAAUACAUGAGACCUUAGAGUAUAAAACAAGAGCAUCAUAUAAAAAGUGGCAUAAACAACCAUAAAAUAGUCUAUUCUACAUUACACAUCUAAAACAACUUCCUACAUAUGUGAGUGUGAUGAUAAACAACUUAUAGAUUGU